rnacentral:rRNA from 1 species
UAGGGAAUCUUCGGCAAUGGACGAAAGUCUGACCGAGCAACGCCGCGUGGGUGAAGAAGGUUUUCGGAUCGUAAAACUCUGUUGGUAGAGAAGAACGUUGGUGAGAGUGGAAAGCUCAUCAAGUGACGGUAACUACCCAGAAAGGGACGGCUAACUACGUGUCAG